rfam:Oryza nivara chromosome 12, whole genome shotgun sequence.
AAUAAAUACAAUUUUAGUACUGUUCAUGUCCAAUGUUUGACCAUUUGUCUUAUUUGAAAAAAGAUUAUGAUUAGUAUUUUUAUUGUUAUUAGAUCAUAAAAUAUGAAUAGUACUUUAUAUGUGGCUAAUUUUUUAAAUAUUUUUUAAAUAAGACGGAUGGUCAAAGCGCUGAGCACAUAUAUCUAUGGCUACACUUAUU